AGCCAUAAAUAUUGUUUUUGGGGUGUUUAACAUUUCAUCAGGCACAAAAAGCUUAAAUUUUGUCUUUUUCUGUAGGUUUGUGUUCAGUGUCAUUACUAGAAUGUUACAAUUGUAGGACUUUUUCUUAGAAUGCCUUGAAGUUCAGUAUUAAGUUGACACCAACUUAAAAUUCAUAUUUUGUCUGAAAUCUUUACUACUGUUACUUGACACAUGUAAAUUUACUGUAGCGGAAAGAGAUUAGAAAAAUUCUUUCAAUUUGUUUACUUUGCGCUUCUCACAGAAACGUCUAUAACAGUUUUGUCUGCUUGUAUAGUCAUUCACGUCCCCUGUUGUCCCUAUUGGUCUUUCAGUGCUGUAACAGAAGAGAGAGAAACCCCUAAAAAAAAUAAAAAAAUGUAAAACUACAAACAUUGAUAACAGACUUAAGCAGGGUGUAAUUCCUGAAACUAACUUUUUGAAGCUGACUAGAUUUCCAGUUGUAUGCAGUGUUGUAGCCGUGUUGGUACCAGGAUAUUAGAGAGACAAGGUAAAUGAGGUAAUACCUUUUAUUGGACCAACUUCUAUUGGUAGGAAAGACUAGCUUUUGAGCUUACACAGCUCUUUCAGAACAAGAAGAACUCUGUGGAAGCUCGAAAGCUUAUGUCUCUCACCAAUAGAAGUUGGUCCAAUAAAAGAUAUUCUCUCACCCACGUUUUCUCGUUGGAUUUCAAGUUGAUGGUCAAAAUCUAGAUUUCAGCCAACUUUUAUCAGGGGUUAGGACGAAACUUUCUCUAAAGAGACAGUUAUCCCUUACUGCCUAAAGGAUUUCAUGCACCUUCUGUGAAGCAUUUGGUACUGUCCAGUCACCAACAAUGGUGACUGGCUUAGAUGGACCACUGGUCUGAUCUGGCAUAGGAUUCAUAUCUUCUUAAACUUGUACAUAAUAAUUAUUAUUAUAUUAUUAUUUAUUAUAACAGAAAUAUAUAACAGGUUUCAGAAAAUAUAUAACAAUCAACUUGUUUUUAUUUGGAUAAAAACCUCCUGCAGUUUGUAACCCAAACACUGCAGUAUUGUGUGAGUAUUCAAAUCUGAGCUGGAAAGUGAUCGUGACUCAAAACAAUGAUUUUGGCUAGUCUAUUUUAAUUGAUAUAAACUGAAAUACAAAAUACAUUUUUCUAAAAUGAUCAUAAAUGUUAACAGUUUAAGAUACUUGUAAACAAGGAACAACUUAAAUUUUGCAUGUGUUCCUCUGCAAUGACUAAGUACUGGGCACUGUUAUAUUUACUGUCAUAGAAAUCAAUAUGUAAGGAAUGCUACUGUCCAGUGUAAUAAAGGUAAAAGUUGUUUUUGCAAGGACUUCCAUGCUUUCUUUGCAUGGUUUACUGUAUUUCAGAGCUCAUAUAACAUAAUUUUCCUAUCAGUUGUCCAUCAAUUCCUGUAUCUUAUGUGCUUGCCAAUAUCAGGUGCUUUAAAUGAAAGUGCCAGAAACCCCCAUAGUGACCAAUUAUGAAUAACCUUU